rnacentral:snoRNA from 1 species
UUUCCUCUUUCACUACCUUUUCUCCUAAUAAUAUAUUUUAGUGGCUAUGCUUAUGGGAUAGAUUAAAAUUGUCAUGAUUUGUGAGAGAGGAUUUUUGUUUGUUUUUGUUUUUUUGGUAUCCUUCUAUAUGAAACGGCUGGACAGAAAUUU